AAUUUUGGACAAUGGGGGAAACCCUGAUCCAGCCAUCCCGCGUGUAUGAUGAAGGCCUUCGGGUUGUAAAGUACUUUUGGCAGAGAAGAAAAGGUACCUCCUAAUACGAGGUACUGCUGACGGUAUCUGCAGAAUAAGCACCGGCUAACUAAGUGCGAUCAGCCGAGGUAAUACGUAGGGUGCAAACGUUAUUCGGAAUUACUGGGCGUAAAGCAUGUGUAGGAGGUUCUGAAAGAAAGAUGUUAAGUCACAGGGCGCAACCUUGGAACUGCAUUUUUAACUGCCGAGCUAGAAUAUGUCAGAAGGGGGUAUAAUUCCACGUGUAGCAGUGAAAUGCGUAGAUAUGUGGAGGAAUACCGAUGGCGAAGGCAGCCCCCUGGGAUAAUACUGACGCUCAGACACGAAAGCGUGGGGAGCAAACA
rnacentral:rRNA from 1 species